rfam:Schistosoma rodhaini strain Burundi genome assembly, scaffold: SROB_scaffold0000021
AUCCGGCUGAGGAGUCCCAAAUAGGAUGAAACUAGAGUCUUGGAU